AAUCAACGCUGGCGGCGUGCCUAACACAUGCAAGUCGAACGAGAAAGUGGGAGCAAUCCUGCGAGUACAGUGGCAGACGGGUGAGUAACACGUGAACGACCUACCCUUGAGUGGGGAAUAACACCGCGAAAGCGGUGCUAAAACCGCAUAACAUCCAUUGGUUGCAUGACUGAUGGAUCAAAAGCGCAAGUUGCUUGAGGAGGGGUUCGCGGCUGAUUAGCUAGUUGGUGAGGUAACGGCCCACCAAGGCAACGAUCAGUAGCCGGCCUGAGAGGGCGAACGGCCACACUGGAACUGAGACACGGUCCAGACUCCUACGGGAGGCAG
rnacentral:rRNA from 1 species